rnacentral:rRNA from 1 species
GUAGUCAUAUGCUUGUCUCAAAGAUUAAGCCAUGCAUGUCUAAGUAUAAGCAAUUAUACCGCGAAACUGCGUAUGGCUCAUUAUAUAAGUUAUCGUUUAUUUGAUAGUACCUUCCUACAUGGAUAACCGUGGUAAUUCUAGAGCUAAUACAUGCAAAAAAUCCCGACUUCGGAAGGGAUGUAUUUAUUAGAUUAAAAACCAAUGCCCUUCGGGGCUCUUUGGUGAAUCAUGAUAACUUCACGGAUCGCACGGCCUUGCGCCGGCGAUGUUUCAUUCAAAUUUCUUCCCUAUCAACUUUCGAUGUUUGGGUAUUGGCCAAACAUGGUUGCAACGGGUAACGGGGAAU